GACAGAGGCCCCAAGCGUUAGGCGGAAUCACUGGGCUUAAAGCGUGUGUAGGCGGACGCCUAAGUGUCUUGUGAAAUCCCACGGCUCACCCGUGGAACUGCUGGGCAUACUGGGCGUCUUGGGCCAACUAGGGGCAGCCGGAACAAGCGGUGGAGCGGUGAAAUGCGUAGAUAUCAUUUGGAACGCCAAUGGUGAAAACAGGUAGCUGGGGCUGUACUGACACUGGAGACACGAAAGCCAGGGGAGCAAACGGG
rnacentral:rRNA from 1 species